UGCACACUUUUUAGUCACACUGCUAACAACUCUGCACAGAACAAGCCACUCAGCACAGCUCAGGAAUGCAAUAACCCAGAAUUCUAGUGUGGGUAUAUAGACACACCCCGGUGUCACCCACAGGGGUGAAUGACUGAUCAAUUGAAUAGUUGAUACCUAUAUAUGAUGUUGGAAUAAACGUCACCUCACAAACACACCCGCAGCUCGUCAUUAUUAUUGACUCACCCCU